GACGAACGCUGGCGGCGUGCUUAACACAUGCAAGUCGAACGGAAAGGCCCUGCUUUUGUGGGGUGCUCGAGUGGCGAACGGGUGAGUAACACGUGAGUAACCUGCCCUUGACUUUGGGAUAACUUCAGGAAACUGGGGCUAAUACCGGAUAGGAGCUCCUGCUGCAUGGUGGGGGUUGGAAAGUUUCGGCGGUAGGGGAUGGACUCGCGGCUUAUCAGCUUGUUGGUGGGGUAGUGGCUUACCAAGGCUUUGACGGGUAGCCGGCCUGCGAGGGUUACCGGCCACAUUGGGACUGAGAGACGGCGCAGAAUCCUACGGGAGGCAGCAGUGGGAAAUAUUGCACAAUGGGCGCAAGCCUGAUGCAGAAACGCCGCGUGCGGGAUGACGGCCUUCGAGUUGUAAACCGCUUUCGCCUGUGACGAAGCGUGAGUGACGGUAAUGGGUAAAGAAGCACCGGCUAACUACGUG
rnacentral:rRNA from 1 species